UUUGGUUUGUGCAAACGGGACUUAAAUACGUUCAUUAACAUUAGCUACGCCGCUCGGUAGUAAGUAAUGGUACCAUAGGACUUGACAAAUCCCGUUCCUGACAUCCUAGGUUUGUUUGGGUGUAAGGAAUGACCGAAUCCGAAAACAUUUCUUUUGAUAACCUUGACUUAGGGUUAUCCGUCUGUCUCAAGGCUUGAAUGUAUGCGUUUAACUUACCACAUAAAUGUUAUUAUCAAUAAAACAUGCUUUUACUUUGCAAAACAUAACUUUUGAUAUACUCAAAGUACCUUGUUUUGUAGAUCUUUACAUUUGGUUUAUGUGACUACACUUUGCUUACCAUACAUAACAUUUGUUGACUACUUUUGGACUUGUACAUUUUACACAACAACAUAUUUUUCAAGACUUUGGUUUACAAAAUAGUUUGUUUUAUACAAACUCAUACUACUUGGUUAUUCAUUUAACCAUAUAUUAUUCUUUCAUUUAUACACAUCUUCUGAUCUUAUCGCUUUUCAUAUAAUUUACGAAACAAAACAAUUUUCAAGGUUCAUGACAAAAUUUUAUUAAACAUUUUCUUAAAACUUAAGUCAUGAAUCCUAUUUUCAUAAAACCUAUGAGCUGUUGCUUAGGAUGUUCGUGACACACUAGGGCGGACCUAUGCCUUAGAGACUAAAAUAAAGAUGGAACCAGUUUAAUUAUGUGAUGAACACUUUGUUUCAGUUAAUUUAAGACUAUGUAACCUUUGCUUGAUGAAUAAAACAUAACUU
rnacentral:lncRNA from 1 species